rnacentral:rRNA from 1 species
GAUGAACGCUAGCGGCAGGCUUAAUACAUGCAAGUCGAGGGGUAGCAAGAUUGUAGCAAUACAUUUGAUGGCGACCGGCAAACGGGUGCGGAACACGUACACAACCUUCCUAUAAGUGGGGAAUAGCCCAGAGAAAUUUGGAUUAAUACCCCGUAACAUAAUGAUGUGGCAUCACAUUAUUAUUAUAGCUUCGGCGCUUAUUGAUGGGUGUGCGGCUGAUUAGAUAGUUGGCGGGGUAACGGCCCACCAAGUCUACGAUCAGUAGCUGAUGUGAGAGCAUGAUCAGCCACACGGGCACUGAGACACGGGCCCGACUCCUACGGGAGGCAGCAGUAAGGAAUAUUGGUCAAUGGACGCAAGUCUGAACCAGCCAUGCCGCGUGAAGGAUUAAGGUCCUCUGGAUUGUAAACUUCUUUUAUCUGGGACGAAAAAAGGCGAUUCUUCGUCACUUGACGGUACCAGAUGAAUAAGCACCGGCUAACUCCGUGCCAGCAGCCGCGGUAAAAC